GGAGAUGUGGCUCAAUGUUAGAGAGCUUGCCUAGCAUGCAAGAGGCUCUGGGUUUGAUCCCCAGCACCA
rnacentral:tRNA from 1 species